CCCUUAGAUGUCCUGGGCCGCACGCGCGCUACACUGAUGCAUUCAACGAGCCUAUCCUUGACCGACAGGUCCGGGUAAUCUUUGAAUCUGCAUCGUGACGGGGAUAGAUUAUUGCAAUUAUUAAUCUUCAACGAGGAAUGCCUAGUAGGCGCAAGUCAUCAGCUUGCGUCGAUUACGUCCCUGCCCUUUGUACACACCGCCCGUCGCUCCUACCGAUUGGGUGUGCUGGUGAAAUGUUCGGAUCGGCCGUUUGUCGCGGUUUCCGCGUCAUGUGGCUGGGAAGUUCAUUAAACCCUCCCACCUAGAGGAAGGAGAAGUCGUAACA
rnacentral:rRNA from 1 species